rnacentral:rRNA from 1 species
UACGAAGGGGGCUAGCGUUGUUCGGAAUUAUUGGGCGUAAAGCGCGUGUAGGCGGCUUUGCAAGUCGGGUGUGAAAGCCCUCAGCUCAACUGAGGAAGUGCGCCCGAAACUGCAGAGCUUGAGUGCCGGAGAGGGUGGCGGAAUUCCCCAAGUAGAGGUGAAAUUCGUAGAUAUGGGGAGGAACACCGGUGGCGAAGGCGGC